rnacentral:rRNA from 1 species
UACGGAAGGUGCAAGCAUUAAUCGGAUUUAUUGGGCGUAAAGGGCGCGUAGGCGGGUUAGCAAGUUAGAUGUGAAAUUUCGGGGCUCAACCCCGAAGCUGCAUUUAAAACUACUUAUCUUGAGGGUAGGCGGAGAGAAUGGAAUUCCACGUGUAGCGGUGAAAUGCGUAGAUACGUGGAGGAACACCGGUGGCGAAAGCGGUUCUCUAGCUUAUUCCUGACGCUGAGGCGCGAGAGCAAGGGGAGCAAACAGG